rnacentral:rRNA from 1 species
GAUGAACGCUGGCGGCGUGCCUAAUACAUGCAAGUCGAGCGAACGGACGAGAAGCUUGCUUCUCUGAUGUUAGCGGCGGACGGGUGAGUAACACGUGGAUAACCUACCUAUAAGACUGGGAUAACUUCGGGAAACCGGAGCUAAUACCGGAUAAUAUUUUGAACCGCAUGGUUCAAAAGUGAAAGACGGUCUUGCUGUCACUUAUAGAUGGAUCCGCGCUGCAUUAGCUAGUUGGUAAGGUAACGGCUUACCAAGGCAACGAUGCAUAGCCGACCUGAGAGGGUGAUCGGCCACACGGGAACUGAGACACGGUCCAGACUCCUACGGGAGGCAGCAGUAGGGAAUCUUCCGCAGUGGGCGAAAGCCUGACGGAGCAACGCCGCGUGAGUGAUGACGGUCUUCGGAUCGUAAAACUCUGUUAUUAGGGAAGAACAUAUGUGUAAGUAACUGUGCACAUCUUGACGGUACCUAAUCAGAAAGCCCCGGCUAACUACGUG